rnacentral:misc_RNA from 1 species
UCAAACUUGGUCAUUUAGAGGAAGUAAAAGUCGUAACAAGGUCUCCGUAGGUGAACCUGCGGAGGGAUCAUUACUGAGCGAGGGCCCCGCGCCCGACCUCCCACCCUUUGUGAUUAUACCGUGUUGCCUCGGGGGCUCGCGCCCCCGGCGGACCACAGCCAAACUCGCAUCGCACGCGUCGGUUUGAAUUGAUGAAUAUUAUCAAAACUUUCAACAACGGAUCUCUUGGUUCUGGCAUCGAUGAAGAACGCAGC